rnacentral:rRNA from 1 species
GAUGAACGCUGGCGGCGUGCCUAAUACAUGCAAGUCGAACGGGUGUAGCAAUACACUAGUGGCGAACGGGUGAGUAACACGUUGGUGACCUGCCCUAAAGAGGGGAAUACCACUUCGAAAGGAGUGACAAAACCGCAUAAGCUGAUGCUAGUUAGAGAGGCAUUAGUAAAAGAGCAAUCUACUUUAGGAGGGGCCCGCGGCCCAUCAGCUAGUUGGUGAGGUAAAAGCCCACCAAGGCGAAGACGGGUAGGGGACCUGAGAGGGCGAUCCCCCACAAUGGAACUGAAACACGGUCCAUACACCUGCGGGUGGCAGCAGUAGGGAAUAUUGCUUAAUGGGCGAAAGCCUGAAGCAGCAACGCCGCGUGAACGAAGAAGGCCUUCGGGUCGUAAAGUUCUUUUACGUGGGAUGAGGAAGGACAGUACCACGAGAAUAAGUCUCGGCUAACUACGUGCCAGCAGCCGCGGUAA